rnacentral:rRNA from 1 species
UACGGGGGGGGCAAGCGUUGUUCGGAAUUAUUGGGCGUAAAGGGCUCGUAGGCGGUUUGUCGCGUCGGGAGUGAAAAUCUACAGCUUAACUGUGGGCUUGCUUUCGAUACGGGCAGACUUGAGGCAUGCAGGGGAGAACGGAAUUCCUGGUGUAGCGGUGAAAUGCGCAGAUAUCAGGAGGAACACCGGUGGCGAAGGCGGUUCUCUGGGCAUGUUCUGACGCUGAGGAGCGAAAGUGUGGGGAGCGAACAGG